rnacentral:rRNA from 1 species
UACGAAGGGGGCUAGCGUUGUUCGGAUUUACUGGGCGUAAAGCGUGCGCAGGCGGUUUUGUAAGUCUGAUGUGAAAUCCCCGGGCUCAACCUGGGAAUUGCAUUGGAGACUGCAAGGCUAGAAUCUGGCAGAGGGGGGUAGAAUUCCACGUGUAGCAGUGAAAUGCGUAGAGAUGUGGAGGAACACCGAUGGCGAAGGCAGCCCCCUGGGUCAAGAUUGACGCUCAUGCACGAAAGCGUGGGGAGCAAACAGG